rnacentral:rRNA from 1 species
CACUGGUGUUCGGGUUGUCAUGCCAAUGGCACUGCCCGGUAGCUAAAUGCGGAAGAGAUAAGUGCUGAAAGCAUCUAAGCACGAAACUUGCCCCGAGAUGAGUUCUCCCUGAGACUAUAAGUCUCCUGAAGGAACGUUGAAGACGACGACGUUGAUAGGCCGGGUGUGUAAGCGCAGCGAUGCGUUGAGCUAACCGGUACUAAUGAACCGUGAGGCUUAACCUUACAACGCCGAAG